UACGUAGUUGGCAAGCGUUGUCCGGAUUUAUUGGGCGUAAAGGGCGCGUAGGCGGUCACGCACGUCCGUUGUGAAAUCGCUCGGCUCAACUGGGCGGGGUCAGCGGAUACGGCGUGGCUGGAGCAAGCUAGGGGGCAAUGGAAUUCCCGGUGUAGUGGUGGAAUGCGUAGAUAUCGGGAGGAACACCAGUGGCGAAGGCGGUUGCCUGGAGCUUUGCUGACGCUGAUGCGCGAAAGCGUGGGGAGCGAUCCGG
rnacentral:rRNA from 1 species